rnacentral:tRNA from 3 species
CGGGGCGUGGCUCAGCUUGGCUAGAGCGCUUGCUUCGGGAGCAAGAAGUCCCCGGUUCGAAUCCGGGCGCCCCGACCA